AAAAUUCAGAACAGUAAGAGUGAGAAACAGAGGAAACCCAAGGAUGAUAUGGAUGGACGAAAUCAACAAAUCGAUUGAGAAAGUCUCGAUGAAAAAAGAAAUCAACCCCAGGUCUUACACUCGUAAGGUUUUAGGUUUAGAUGUACAACGAGGGGAUUUCGGAAACUGACUGCAGCAUUAAUAAGCGAAGAGAACAGUAAAAGCAACAAACACAAGUUUUCAAGGUUCUCGUUACUAACCAUCUUCGCCAUUUUUAACAGCUUGAGUACGGACAUGGAUUAUUC